rnacentral:rRNA from 1 species
CUUGCUACUGUUUGUUUCUAGCGGCGGACGGGUGAGUAACGCGUGAGCAACCUGCCUUUAUCAGGGGGAUAACGCAUCGAAAGAUGUGCCAAUACCGCGUAAGACCACAGCUUCACAUGGAGCGGGGGUCAAAGGAGCGAUCCGGAUAAAGAUGGGCUCGCGUCCGAUUAGCUAGUUGGUGAGAUAACAGCCCACCAAGGCGACGAUCGGUAGCCGACCUGAGAGGGUGAUCGGCCACAUUGGAACUGAGAGACGGUCCAGACUCC